AAUUUAUGAAAUACGCAUUUGUAUGUUUUUAUAUGUAUAUCACACAACUUUAUGACAUGGCUGUAAAUCUGGUGGGAUAUUACGGUACUGUUUUUAUCAGUUUCGGUACUUUUUGUUAGAACCGGUCACCUCAAUGUUCUCAGGCGAUCAGACGACAACUGCCACACAGAAUGCGGAUGUUCCACGCUUGGUAUUGAUUGUAGCAGCUGCUUCAGCCAGUACAGCGGUAGCCAUCACAAGCCUUGUUCUCGUGAUUGUAUGUUGUACUAUCACGAAACAGAACAUUUCCCCAAACUACGAGCAUGCGGAUGUAAUACGUAAAAA